AGCGAACGCUGGCGGCAGGCUUAACACAUGCAAGUCGAACGGGCGUAGCAAUACGUCAGUGGCAGACGGGUGAGUAACGCGUGGGAACGUACCUUUUGGUUCGGAACAACCCAGGGAAACUUGGGCUAAUACCGGGAUAAGCCCUUACGGGGAAGAUUUAUCGCCGAAAGAUCGGCCCGCGUCUGAUUAGCUAGUUGGUGUGGUAACGGCGCACCAAGGCGACGAUCAGUAGCUGGUCUGAGAGGAUGAUCAGCCACAUUGGGACUGAGACACGGCCCAAACUCCUACGGGAGGCAGCAGUGGGGAAUAUUGGACAAUGGGCGCAAGCCUGAUCCAGCCAUGCCGCGUGAGUGAUGAAGGCCCUAGGGUUGUAAAGCUCUUUUGUGCGGGAAGAUAAUGACGGUACCGCAAGAAUAAGCCCCGGCUAACUUCGUG
rnacentral:rRNA from 1 species